GAUGAACGCUAGCGGCAGGCCUAAUACAUGCAAGUCGAACGGAUAUAUGUUUUUCGGAAUAUAUAUUAGUGGCGCACGGGUGAGUAACACGUACAUAACUUGCCCUCAAGCGGGGGAUAGCCUUGGGAAACUGAGAGUAAUACCCCAUAGAAUUAUUGGACGGCAUCGUUUGAUAAUUAAAACUACGGUGUUUGGGGAUAGAUGUGCGUCUGAUUAGCUAGUUGGUGAGGUGACUGCUCACCAAGGCGACGAUCAGUAGGGGGCGUGAGAGCGUGGCCCCCCACACGGGUACUGAGACACGGACCCGACUCCUACGGGAGGCAGCAGUAAGGAAUAUUGGUCAAUGGAGGGAACUCUGAACCAGCCAUGCCGCGUGAAGGAUGACGGCCCUCUGGGUUGUAAACUUCUUUUGGAUGGGGCGAAAAAACGGGAUUUAUCCUGGACUGACGGUACCAUCAGAAUAAGCACCGGCUAACUCCGUG
rnacentral:rRNA from 1 species